GGAAGUAAAAGUCGUAACAAGGUUUCCGUAGGUGAACCUGCGGAAGGAUCAUUGUCGAAACCUGCAUAGCAGAAAAACUUGUGAACAUACAUGACCAACUCGGAGAGAUCAAGGAGCUGUAUAGAGCCUUGGAUCCCUGUAUUGUGCUUGGGUGGGGUGCGGCUUUUGUCCACUCCCGUCAACACAAAAAACGAACCCCGGCGCAGAAUGCGUCAAGGAAUAUGAAAAAACAAAAUGACUUACACCGCCAUUGCCCCGGAGACGGUGUGUUGUGACGGUUGAUUUGUUAUUGGUUUUAUGUUAUAACAACUCUCGGCAACGGAUAUCUCGGCUCUCGCAUCGAUGAAGAACGUAGCGAAAUGCGAUACUUGGUGUGAAUUGCAGAAUCCCGUGAACCAUCGAGUCUUUGAACGCAAGUUGCGCCCGAAGCCAUCCGGUUGAGGGCAUGUCUGCCUGGGCGUCACACAUCAUAGCCCCCCCCCAAUUAUCCCACUUCACUCCCUGUCGGGUGUGUUAGGUCUCUGAUUGGGUGUGGCGGAAGAUGGCCUCCCGUGUGUGCAAUCAUGCGGUUGGCUGAAAAUCAAGUCCUCGGUCACAUUAUCGUGACGUUAGGUGGUUGUUGACAAUCUCGACGUACCCCGUUGCGUGUGUAGAACCAGGACUUCAAGACCCCGCGAUGCUCCAUUCAUUGAAGCUUCCAAUGCGACCCCAGGUCAGGCAGGGCUACCCGCUGAGUUUAAGCAUAUCAAUAAGCGGAGGA
rnacentral:rRNA from 1 species